rnacentral:rRNA from 1 species
UUCGCAAUGCCCGAAAGGGUGACGAAGCGACGCCGCGUGUGGGAAGAAGGCCUUCGGGUUGUAAACCACUGUCGGGAGUUAAGAAAUGUAAGGAUGUUAAUAGCGUUCUUGCUUGACUAAGGCUCCAGAGGAAGCCACGGCUAACUCUGUGCCAGCAGCCGCGGUAAUACAGAGGCGGCAAGCGUUGUUCGGAAUUAUUGGGCGUAAAGAGCACGUAGGCGGCCUUGCAAGUCAGUUGUGAAAGCCUUCCGCUUAACGGAAGAAUGCCAGCUGAUACUACAGGGCUUGAGUACGGGAGGGGAGAGUGGAACUUCUGGUGGAGCGGUGAAAUGCGUAGAUAUCAGAAGGAACGCCGGCGGCGAGAGCGACUCUCUGGCCCGAAACUGACGCUGAGUGUGCGAAAGCUAGGGGAGCAAACGGGAUUAGAUACCCCGGUAGUCCUAGCCGUAAACGAUGGGCACUAAGUAGAGGGGUUUU